AUUGAACGCUGGCGGAAUGCUUUACACAUGCAAGUGGAACGGCAGCACGGACUUCGGUCUGGUGGCGAGUGGCGAACGGGUGAGUAAUAUAUCGGAGCGUGACCAGUAGUGGGGGAAAAGGUAGCGAAAGUUACGGUAAUACAGCAUACGCAGGAAGGAUGAAAGCGGAGAUAGGCAAGAACGGGCGCGACUGGAGCGAGCGAUAGCAGAUUAGGUAGUCGGUGGGGUAAAGGCUCACCAAGCUAACGAUCUGUAGCUGGGCUGAGAGGACGACCAGCCACACUGGAACUGUGACACGGUCCAGACUCUUACGGGAAGCAGCAGUGGGGAAUUUUGGACAAUGGACGCAAGUCUGAUCCAGCCAUUCCGCGUGCAGGAUGAAGGCCCUCGGGUUGUAAACUGCUUUUGUACGGAACGAAAAGGUCUCUCUUAAUACGGGGGGCUCAUGACGGUACCGUAAGAAUAAGCACCGGCUAACUACGUGCCAGCCGCCGCGGUAA
rnacentral:rRNA from 1 species